UGCGUAGGUGGUGCCGUAAGUUGGAUGUGAAACCCCGGAGCUCAACUCCGGAACUGCAUUCAAUACUGCGGUGCUAGAGUACUGGAGAGGAGAUUGGAAUUCACGGUGUAGCAGUGAAAUGCGUAGAUAUCGUGAGGAAGACCAGUGGCGAAGGCGGAUCUCUGGACAGUUACUGACACUGAGGCACGAAGGCCAGGGGAGCAAACG
rnacentral:rRNA from 1 species